GUUGCUAGAAACACACCCGAAGGCGGGCGAGCUUAUCUUGAACAGGUUGAAGGGCGGUUCAUCGCCGCGUUGGAGGACCGAACCCGUGUACGUGGUAAUGUGCUGGGAUGAUUUGAGAUAAGGUUAGUGAAAGGCUAAUCAAGCCCGCAGCUAGCUGGUUUUUGGCGAAAAGCAUAAAGGUGCACUGUGAUGUUUUUGCUAUUUUAAUUUCUGCAGAACGUUCGUUCUGCAGAAUUCAUAGAAUUCCAAAUGUGUCACUUUAGUGACACAUUAGUGACACCGAAGGUGUCACCACGUGAAUUCGAAGAAUUCAUCUUGUUCAGGGAUCUCCAAGGGGGAGGGCGGGUCUAAGCUGCGACUUUCCCAUGGAAACCGUCAAGCACGAUGUUUUCGACAUCAUGGACAGACCAUGGGCGCGAAGGUCCGUGGUCGAGAGGGAAACAGCCCAGAAAGCUCGUUAAGGUCCCUAAGCGUGAGCUCAGUGUGAACGGUAGUUGACUUCGAUAUUUUUCGAAAUAUCGAUCAAGCGGAGACUGCCAGCAAAUAGGCUUGGAAGCAGCCAACUUGGAAUGAUAGCGUAACAGCUCACUGGCAUAGCUUAUCAGCGCCCAACAUGAACGGGGCUUCAGCUCACC
rnacentral:rRNA from 1 species